rnacentral:rRNA from 1 species
GUGACCCUAGGAUGGGCGAGGCCACCCGCUGAGUUUAAG